CACGCGCAGCAGCAUCUCAAGGGAUCGCCGCACAGGACUGCGUGCGCGUUGCCAAGCAGCUUUGUUUGCAUUGCCUCUCAAGGCACAUGCGUCACAUCCGCGACAAUGAAUUCUCACAACCGAAACAUCGCCAUUGUCAGCUCCGCCGCUUACGGUGCUGUGCUCUGCUGCGGCAUGCUCUUCUUCCUUCUCGACACCCGCGAGAAGCACUUCUACAUGCACCCAUCCAAAUCCGUUGCCGUGUUCUCCGUGCUCUGGUUCUCUUUUGCUCCAUCGAUCCUCUUUACUGGCGCGACGAUCCCGUGGCUGUGCGCGGCGUACGGCAGCGAGGUCGCCGCGCUAGUGUUCGCCAUUGUACCAGGCUGCAUCUUCGUGCUGCUCGGGGUGGUUUGGCUCGUCGUGUAUCUUUUUCACGAGCGUAACUCUUACUUCGUGGGUGUGCAGCACAGCGCACUGUGGGGCGGCAACAUAGCGAACUUGGAAGCCGCCAUUGGCGGCUCCGCUGCUCGCCGCUAUGUGUAUACUGCUGCAGACCCUGCUAUGGUAGGUGGAGCCAAGGCUUUCAGCGUUGCCGACAGCGCGCUGCCUCGCCCGCACGGUGCGUUGACGGCAAGUUUCAGUGCCUCUGGGUUUGAGGACGUGGAUGCCGUGAUCACACCGGCCUCGCAGUGGCGAGGUUACACCGCCAGCCGCGAAAACAACAUCCCGAGGGGCGCUGGUGGGUGGGCCGCUGACCGCGCGUCUUCGGCUAGCUGGUACAGGGGACCACUAGUUCUUCCCACCCACUCCGUCGAUCAGUUGGAGCCCCCUUAUGUUGUACAGGAGCGCAGCCUAGGAACUCAUUAUGUUGCCUAGAAGAGAGCUGCGCUAGAAGGUUCGCGCAGUGAGGUGCGUGGGCCUUUGCGCGUGUUUCCCGGCGUGGAAGUUUACUAGUUGUUUCACUUUUCGUGCCCUUAGAUGAGAAGGUGUUUUCCCAGCUGAGGAGGUGGGUUGUAGGAGGGAGCAGGUCCGGUGGUCGAGGGCCUGCAGGAGGAAGCUCCGUCUCAGCAGUUGUCACUCAGCGCGGCUCCCUCACACUUUCCUCUCCCCUUCUUCUGCUUUCGUCACUACAUCUACUUUGUGCUUCGCAUGCAGCACAGAGAAGGAAAAUGAGACACCGACUCUAACCUUCGCAAGGGCCGGUGCUUGAAGCUAUUUUUUUUUUCUGUGGGCACUCAUGAGCCUGUUGGAACCUCAGCGCACAACGCGCCAAGCUGCAGUUUCGGUACUCUUGCAGCAAGAGAGAAAGUGAGGAAGGGGAAGCUGCUGAGGCGACUGAGGGGAAGGCAUGGGGAAGGUCACACUUUGCUCGUGCGCUUUACUGAAUGUUGUCCAAGCAGAGUCAAUCCGUCUUCCCCUCCUGCUAUUUCUUGCGUUUUGCGACCGUUGCUCUAUCCUUCUCUCAGCCACCCACAGAUUGACUGACGUAGACGAAAUUGCACACGCACACACACAUACACACGUUGAUAGAGGGGCUCAAGCCAGCCCGCUGUCAUGUUCAGCUGCCCUUACAUUUCUGCCCGCUCGUACCCCUCUUUGGUGAUACUUUUCAGCGGUGCGUCAAUCUUAUCUGCACCUUCUCCCCGAUUCCGCACUAUUCGCUUCGCCCCCGUCCUCCGUUUCUUCUUUGGCGCCCUUCUUCACUGGUUUUAAUAG
rnacentral:misc_RNA from 1 species